UGGUUGGUGAAGCCAGCACAACGAGUAGAACGAGGAAGGAGGAGCAGCGACAGGCGAGAAAGAAAGGUGUUCUUCUUCUCCUAAAAAUUUGGACUAUUUCGACGGUAUAAAUUGACUCAGUGAAACCACACCCACGAAGAAGAGGAAGGAUAAGACGACGACGAUAACAACGACGACAGUUAUCAGCAGCAGGUUAGGUCUUGUCGAGGAACCACUCGACACCCAUUAUUAUUCAGCCAGGAGGAGGAGGAGGGGAAAAAGAAGACAAAAUUGACAACGAGAAGGAACUUGUUGAGAUAGGAAGAGGUCUUGCUCUUCUCGAAUUGACGACCACGGCGACGACGACGACGACGACUGACAAGAAAAUGGAGACGGACAAGUUGGUGGAGGAGAUUUGUCAGUCUCCGAUGCAAACUUUGCUGAGUGAGGAGUCCAUGAGUGAAAUUUCUGAAGAUUCAUCAUCAAAUCGGGAAUUGUCGGCAGGAUAUUUGUCCGAGAGAGAAAAGGCUUUCGUCAUUUUUGACAAUUGGACGGAGGUUGACCAGGUCGACUUUUUGGAGCAACUUCUCUGCCGCAUGUGUCAUUACCAGCACGGGCAGAUUAAUGAAUUUCUCACCCCAAUGUUACAACGGGAUUUUAUUACUCUGCUGCCAAAAAAAGGACUGGAUCACAUUGCUGAAUCUAUUUUAUCAUAUUUGGAUGCAAAGUCAUUAUGUUCGGCUGAGAUGGUUUGCAAAGAGUGGAAUAGGGUCAUCUCUGAUGCCAUGCUUUGGAAAAAGUUGAUUGAACGUAAAGUUCGAACUGAUACUUUGUGGCGAGGUUUGGCGGAUCGGAGAGGAUGGAGUUGUCAUCUUUUCAAACCUCGAAUGGGACAAGCACACCCUGAAAAUAGCUUUUAUCGAAUUCUCUACCCACGAAUUAUUGCUGACAUUCAAGGGAUUGAAAACAAUUGGCUGAAAGGAGACCCCAACCUCCAGUUGAUCAACUGUCGCUCGGAAAACUCAAAGGGAGUCUAUUGUCUUCAGUACGAUGAUGGAAAGAUUGUCUCAGGGCUACGUGAUAACACGAUCAAGAUUUGGGAUCGACACACGCUUCAGUGUACAAAGGUGCUUACUGGUCAUACAGGGUCCGUCCUGUGCCUUCAGUAUGACGAGAAGGUGAUCAUUAGUGGAUCAAGUGACUCCACUGUUCGUGUUUGGGACGUGAAGACUGGUGAAAUGGUCAACACACUGAUUCAUCAUUGCGAGGCUGUUUUGCAUCUCCGCUUCAACAAUGGGAUGAUGGUUACUUGUUCCAAGGAUCGUAGCAUUGCCGUUUGGGACAUGGUCUCCGCCACCGAUAUCAAUCUUCAUCGUGUUCUCGUUGGACACCGGGCAGCUGUGAAUGUCGUCGAUUUUGAUGAGAAGUACAUCGUCUCCGCUUCUGGUGAUAGGACCAUCAAGGUCUGGAAUACGAGCUCAUGUGAAUUCGUGCGCACUCUGAAUGGCCACAAGCGUGGAAUCGCUUGCCUCCAGUAUCGAGAUCGUCUCGUUGUAAGCGGAAGUUCUGACAACACUAUACGGUUGUGGGACAUUGAGUGUGGUGCUUGCCUCAAAGUUCUUGAAGGCCAUGAAGAGCUCGUUCGCUGUAUUCGUUUCGAUAACAAACGUAUCGUGAGUGGAGCUUACGACGGUAAGAUAAAAGUUUGGGAUCUCCAGGCGGCACUCGAUCCACGAGCACCCGCUUCUUCUCUUUGUCUUCGGACUCUUGUGAAACACACUGGCCGCGUGUUCCGACUGCAGUUUGAUGAAUUCCAGAUUGUGAGCAGCUCUCACGACGACACUAUCCUAAUUUGGGAUUUUCUCAAUUUCGAACAAGCUGAAGCCCCUGCACCACGUCGACCUGAGGACGAAAUGACGAAUGCGCAAUGAAAAAUUAAAAUAAAUAUAAAAUUCUACAUGACACUUUUUGUUGUAAAAAACGAAAUAUCCAAAUUUACAAUACGAGUGAAAAAAAGUAAUGAAACGGAGGGGUAAUAUUCCACAGCAAUGAAAUGAAAUUGCAGUGAAAAGUCAUGCCGAGUUCACAUUUUUUGCAAUUCUCCCCUGCUGAUUGAGUUUAUUUGUACCAACAAUAUUUAUAAUAAUUGAAUAAUAUGCGUAAACGGACUAUUUAGUGGAAAUUCGAACGAAAAGUUUUGACUUUAUUUUCUCAUUUAUAAUAUUUAUAUUUAAUAAUUGUUUUCUUGACCAAUACUGAUGCAGCCGCCAGUGAAGUAAUUUAUUCCUCAAUUCCAGAUUCCAUUAAACACGCUUGAUUGAAAUGAAUUUUUAAUAAUGAUUAUUUAAUUAAAUUGGGAAUUUAGAAAACCUUGUAAAUUUUAUGAUACAAAACAAAAUCAGUAUUUAAAUAACUGUUGGUGUUUUUUGGAAUAAUAAAUAUGAUUUUCGCGGACUGUAAGUCCACUUUGAGACAUUUUAAUCACACUGACUUUAGAUUGACUCGUAUAGAAUUUCACAAAUAUGAAAAAAUUUUAACCAAAUUUAAUUUCUGUCAAAUUUCUCACUUGAAUAAUAGGCUUAUUGCAUUGAA